rnacentral:misc_RNA from 1 species
UACGGCGGGUGCACGCGCUAAUCGGAAUUACUGCGGGGAAAGCGCACGCAGGCGGUCUGUCAAGUCGGAUGUGAAAUCCUCGGGCUCAACCUGGGAACUGCAUCCGAAACUGGCAGGCUAGAGUCUUGUAGAGGGGGGUAGAAUUCCAGGUGUAGCGGUGAAAUGCGUAGAGAUCUGGAGGAAUACCGGUGGCGAAGGCGGCCCCCUGGACAAAGACUGACGCUCAGGUGCGAAAGCGUGGAGAGCAAACAGG